UACAGAGGUCCCUAGCGUUGUUCGGAUUUACUGGGCGUAAAGGGCACGUAGGCGGCAUGGCGUGUCGAGUGUGAAAUCUCCGGGCCCAACCCGGAAAGUGCGCUCGAAACUACCAUGCUGGAGUACGGGAGAGGGAAUCGGAAUAUAGGGUGUAGCGGUGAAAUGCGUUGAUAUCCUAUAGAACACCGGAGGCGAAGGCGGAUUCCUGGAACGUUACUGACGCUAAGGUGCGAAAGUCGGGGGAGCGAAC
rnacentral:rRNA from 1 species